AAGGGCUAAACACGUUCCUGGAAGCAUGGGUGGAUGUUGUGCACGUUUCUUUUUUUUAUCUAUGGGUUGAAUGAAUUAUUUUUUUCCUUUCCAUUUUGUUCAUGCUGUAGCGUUUUUUUUAGUAUCUCAUGGUAUUCACGGUGCUUCAAUGAUGGAAGGCUGGUUUCAUUUUCUUAUUAAAUGAAGAAGAUUUCUUUUCCUUCUUGAAUUUGGGGUACAUGGGGUAAAGGAAAGGAGUCGCCACUCUUCAUUUUUUUUUAGCACAUUACUGUGAAUGUUCUAGUGAAUGUUAAAAGCACGGCGUCAUUUCAUUUUUCUUCAUAUAGCUGCCACGGUUUGAUGCUGCAAAUUGGAGGCAUGUGUUUUUCAAAAAGAGAACAGAAAGAAAUGUCAAGGUUCAUGAUGCAAGGGUAGAAAAAAAUGUUGAUUUCAUUAGAAAGAAGCUUCAUGGUGAUGGAGUUCAUUACAUUUCUUUUAGAAAGCAAGUUUCUUGAAUAUUGGGUGGCGAGCACACGGUGACGUCCAUGAUAGAAAAGUUCCAAAGGUUUAUUUUCUUUUUUUUAUUUUUUUAUUUUUUUUAUUUUUUAUUUAUUUUUUAUUUUCUUUUUUUAGUGACUUAUCUUUAAUUUUUAUUUUAAUUUUAGUCUUCACUUUAAUGUUUUUAACUAAGCUAGUUAGGUUUAAUUUGCGUGUUUUAAUUUAGUCUUAUUGCAUUCACAAAACACUUUCAAACCCCCCCACUGUGUAUGUGACCUAAUUUUCUGAAUCGCAAUUGGUCCUUGAGAGACGACCUAGGAGUCACUUCCUAGUCUAUACUGCAUUCCUACUUCGCAAUUGGUCCUUAUUGCAUUCCGUUUUGUGUGUCGUGUCAUGUGUGUUGCAUUUAGAUAGCUUUAGUUGCAUAUUUUCAUUCCAUUCUUCUUUUCCCCCCUUUUCU
rnacentral:lncRNA from 1 species